AGAAAGAAAGAAACAAUUGGCUUUCUGCUGAACUCCAGGAAUGAAAUAAAAGGAAAAGUGAAUACAGAUAAAGAAGAGAGCUCAUCCCUUUUGCCAUUUAAGAAAUGGCCUAUUGUCCGGCCUCUGUAAGGAAAUGGCGUUGCUGUGCAGGGCCUUGAAAAGUACAGUAGCCCAGUGCAACAGCUGGCACACAGGGCAGGCAUUGAGAGAACAGGCGAGAAGAGUGACCGAUGGAGGAGGGAGCGGACGUGGG
rnacentral:lncRNA from 1 species